AUGCAAGUCGAGCGAACAGACGAGGAGCUUGCUCCUCUGACGUUAGCGGCGGACGGGUGAGUAACACGUGGAUAACCUACCUAUAAGACUGGGAUAACUUCGGGAAACCGGAGCUAAUACCGGAUAAUAUAUUGAACCGCAUGGUUCAAUGGUGAAAGACGGUUUUGCUGUCACUUAUAGAUGGAUCCGCGCCGCAUUAGCUAGUUGGUAAGGUAACGGCUUACCAAGGCAACGAUGCGUAGCCGACCUGAGAGGGUGAUCGGCCACACUGGAACUGAGACACGGUCCAGACUCCUACGGGAGGCAGCAGUAGGGAAUCUUCCGCAAUGGGCGAAAGCCUGACGGAGCAACGCCGCGUGAAUGAUGAAGGUCUUCGGAUCGUAAAACUCUGUUAUUAGGGAAGAACAAAUGUGUAAGUAACUAUGCACGUCUCGACGGUACCUAAUCAGAAAGCCACGGCUAACUACGUGCCAGCAGCCGCGGUAAUACGUAGGUGGCAAGCGUUAUCCGGAAUUAUUGGGCGUAAAGCGCGCGUAGGCGGUUUUUUAAGUCUGAUGUGAAAGCCCACGGCUCAACCGUGGAGGGUCAUUGGAAACUGGAAAACUUGAGUGCAGAAGAGGAAAGUGGAAUUCCAUGUGUAGCGGUGA
rnacentral:rRNA from 1 species